rnacentral:rRNA from 1 species
CCAAUAGCGUAUAUUAAAGUUGUUGCAGUUAAAAAGCUCGUAGUUGAAUUUCGGGAUUGGCGCAUCGGUCGUGCCUUAAGGGGCAUGAACUGGUGUAGCCAAUUUCUCACCUUCUGGAGAACCGCGAUGUCCUUAAUUGGGUGCCGCGAGGAACCAGGACCUUUACUUUGAAAAAAUUAGAGUGUUUAAAGCAGGCAUUUUGCUUGAAUACAUUAACAUGGAAUAAUAAAAUAAGACGGAUGAUUCUAUUUUGUUGGUUUCUAGGACAACCGUAAUGAUUAAUAGGGAUAGUUGGGGGCAUUAGUAUUCAAUUGUCAGAGGUGAAAUUCUUGGAUUUAUUGAAGACUAACUACUGCGAAAGCAUUUGCCAAGGAUGUUUUCAUUAAUCAAGAACGAAAGUUAGGGGAUCGAAGACGAUCAGAUACCGUCGUAGUCUUAACCAUAAACUAUGCCGACUAGGAAUCAGACGAUGUUAAUUUUUUAAUGACUCGUUUGGCACCUUACG